rnacentral:rRNA from 1 species
AGAGUUUGAUCAUGGCUCAGAAUCAACGCUGGCGGCGCGCCUAACACAUGCAAGUCGAACGAGAAAGCCGCAAGGUGAGUAAAGUGGCGUACGGGUGAGUAACACGUGGAUCAUCUACCUCCUGGUGGGGAAUACCGAUGGGAAACCGUCGACAAUACCGCAUAAGCUCGAGAGAGGAAAGCAGCAAUGCGCCGGGAGAG